rnacentral:rRNA from 1 species
CAUAACCUUUAGCCACAAACAAGUAUUAAAGGCAACGCCUGCCCAGUGAAUAAUUCAACGGCCGCGGUACCCUAACCGUGCAAAGGUAGCAUAAUCACUUGUCUAUUAAUUGUAGACCAGCAUGAAUGGCAAAAUGAAGGCCUAGCUGUCUCUUAUAGUAAAUCAAUUAAACUGAUCUCCUAGUAAAAAAGCUAGAAUAACCACAUAAGACCAGAAGACCCUGUGAAGCUUAAACUACACUAUUAAACCCAAUAAUAGCCACUUUCGGUUGGGGCGACCUUGGAAAAAAAAAGAACUUCCAAACAGUGACUAUAAACCACACAUCGGCCUACAAGCCUACACCGACCCAGUAAAACUGAUAAUUGAACCAAGUUACUCCAGGGAUAACAGCGCCAUCUUCUUCAAGAGCCCAUAUCAAAAAGAAGGUUUACGACCUCGAUGUUGGAUCAGGACAUCCUAAUGGUGCAGCCGCUAUUAAGGGUUCGUUUGUUCAACGAUUAAUAGUCCCACCGGAUC